rnacentral:rRNA from 1 species
GAUGAACGCUAGCGGCAGGCUUAACACAUGCAAGUCGAGGGGCAGCACGAUGUAGCAAUACAUUGGUGGCGACCGGCGCACGGGUGCGUAACACGUAUGGAACCUGCCCUGUACUAGGAGAUAGCCCUCCGAAAGGAGGAUUAAUAUCCCAUAAUAGCUUGGGUGGCAUCACCUGGGUUUGAAAGCUCCGGCGGUACAGGAUGGCCAUGCGCACGAUUAGCUAGUUGGUGAGGUAACAGCUCACCAAGGCUACGAUCGUUAGGGGGCCUGAGAGGGUUAUCCCCCACACUGGUACUGAGACACGGACCAGACCCCUACGGGAGGCAGCAGUGAGGAAUAUUGCGCAAUGGAGGAAACUCUGACGCAGCCAUGCCGCGUGCAGGAAGAAGGCGCUACGCGUUGUAAACUGCUUUUAACCGGGAAGAAACCCUCCGACGUGUCGGAGGUUGACGGUACCGGAGGAAUAAGCACCGGCUAACUUCGUGCCAGCCGCCGCAGUAA